rnacentral:rRNA from 1 species
UACAGAGGUCUCAAGCGUUGUUCGGAUUCAUUGGGCGUAAAGGGUGCGUAGGCGGCGCGGUAAGUCGGGUGUGAAAUCUCGGAGCUUAACUCCGAAACUGCAUUCGAUACUGCCGUGCUUGAGGACUGGAGAGGAGACUGGAAUUUACGGUGUAGCGGUGAAAUGCGUAGAUAUCUGGAGGAACACCGGUGGCGAAGGCGGCAUCCUGGACCGAGAUUGACGCUGAGGCGCGAAAGCCAGGGGAGGCAAACGGG